UGGGGAAUUUUUGGCAAUGGGGGCAANCCUGAUCCACCCAUUCCGCGUGAGUGAAGAAGGCCUUCGGGUUGUAAAGCUCUUUCGGCNGGGAAGAAAUAGCCUCGGUUAAUACCCGCGGUGGAUGACGGUACCCCCAGAAGAAGCACCGGCUAACUACGUGCCAGCAGCCGCGGUAAUACGUAGGGUGCGAGCGUUGUUCGGAAUUACUGGGCGUAAAGCGUGCGCAGGCGGUUUUNUAAGUCAGAUGUGAAAUCCCCGGGCUCAACCCGGGAANUGCAUUUGAGACUGUCNGUCUUGAGUNUGGCAGAGGGGGGUGGAAUUCCACGUGUAGCAGUGAAAUGCGUAGAUAUCUGGAGGAACACCGGUGGCGAAGGCGGCCCCCUGGGCCAAUACUGACGCUCAGGCACGAAAGCGUGGGGAGCAAACAGGAUUAGAUACCCCGGUAGUCCACGCCCUAAACGAUGUGCAACUAGGUGUUGGGGGUAUUCACCCCUUCAGUGCCGCAGCUAACGCGUAAGUUCCCCGCCUG
rnacentral:rRNA from 1 species